UUGCGAAAAGUUUGGUUUACCUUUCGGAGUCUCAGACAGGCUUCCCGUUGACAGCUUUGCUAGGCCCAUUGUCUUGUGCUCACGCGGGAGCUUUGUUGAAAAAGGUGAUUCAGGUGUAUCAGGAUGCUUCCCAGGAAUAUCCAUCGGUCUAUGAAACAGCAAAUGAGCCACAGUCCGGUCUACCGGAUUGGUCUCUGUUUCCACCUCAGGCAUCUUAACCACCCUGCAGUAUACUCAUAAAAUCCAUGAGGAAAAUGACAGGAAACUUUGAGAUUGCCAUACUCUAAACAAAUUGAUAAAGACUUGAUUAAUAAUUUUGUGCAAACAAAUUGAAUGAUUUGAAAUGGGAAGGACGAGAUGUAAAGGAACAAACCCAUUGGAACAAGAAACAAUCACAUUGUCGCUUACAACAAAAAAUCGAGUUUCAGAUCAAAACAGCUUAUGGUUUUGGCUGGAAGUGUCCCAUUUAGACAUUGAUGAGCCGAUUAGAAGAUGAUUUGAGUUCUUAAAUUUCUUGCUUAAAAUGUAAUGUAUCAUGAUUCUGCAGAUGAUCAUUAAAUUAGAAGGGAAAUUUAAUUUUGCCCUGUUUAUCUAAAGUUGUGCAAGUUCUCUGCAUUGAUGAUUCCAGUGAAUUUGUACAGAUCUUGUUUUCCUUCUAUUUGUCCUUGAAUAAACUUAUUGCACUUGUUGAACAAUCUUUGUUUCUCUCUCUUAGUUAAAUCUAGUAAAAUUUAUCAUGUAUGUUGUGCCACUCAUUUAGACUUGGAUGUGCGUGUUUAGCUCUUCUUUUCGGAUUAAGGUGAUUAUGCACAAAUUCACUGGAAUCAACAUUGCAGAAAACUUGCAUAGAUUUUGUUAAUAUUGGAAAAAUUAAAUUCGUUUUCUAAUUAAAUGAAAAUCUCUCCUAAAUAUUAUGCUAUUUGAAUUGUCACCUCAUGACUACUUGCUGCACUGCACUCAUGAAUGCUGCACCAGGGUAAAGCUACAAAUGUCAGUUUAAUAUCUGCCUCUACCUAGGUUGGCCUACAUACAAUACCAAAGCUUCUCUCAACUAAAUCAAGACAUGAUGACCAGCACUCACAAUCAUAACAGAACCAGUGGAAGCGAACUACUACAUAUUUGAUCAACAAGGUCAAAUUCAGUCAAGUUUUUAAGGAAAUCCAGUGAAAGAGGAACCUAAAAUUUUCUGUUUAGAUUUUCUUCUACUUCUAAGAACAAGCGCUGCCUUAAUUGAAUUGUUUCAGUCACUAUUCCUCCAUUGUAAAUAGAGGAUACCGUUUUCAAUAUUUAUUUCCAGAGUGAGAAUGGAAAACAGAAAAUGGUGAUGGCAUUAAAAGAUCCUAAUUUAACAUUUCCAUAGAGCAAAAAUGUUUUUUAAAAAAGAGAGAGGAUAGAUUAAAUUUGAAAACAGAAGCAUGAGAAAUGCAUUACCUUAACCAACCUUCUUUGACUACUAUUGUUUGUACUGCCAGUAUCACUAGCAUAAUGCCUUUGCAUUGCACUUUGAGCCAGCCGGAACAAGCUAUCCCGAAUACAAAGUCUAAUUCUGACAUCCAACUGUUGUAAAACAUUGGUUUGGAAUCGUAACCAAGCACAAAUUAUUUAGCAGGGAAAGAAUGCAAUAGUAGGUGAAGCAUACCUUUGAAAUAAUAUCUUGAAGCCUGUAGAGUACUGUGUCCUCCAUUGAAUAAUCAUUAACCGCCAGAGAGACUGUAUUGGAAUCGUCUUGCUCAAUAGGUGAGUUUGGGUCAAAUGAAGCAAGUGUACUUAGAUCCUCUACUUCAAGGUCAGCUCCUUCAACAUGCUGAAUUUGAUUUUCUUGGGAACACUUUUGAUGAACAAGCUGCUGCUGCUGUUUCUGAAUGGCAAGCAUUGCCUGAAUUUGUUGCCGCCUCCUUAAUUUUUCAAUCUUUUCCUGAGGUGUCAUUCUCUGGGGUUUCACUGGACAGUCAGCUAACUUGUUUAUAGGAUUUGCAUUGCCUGAAACUUCAUAACCAGAAAUUUUAGGUCGAUGAUUAAAUGACUAGAAAUUUUGUUGGAAAGUCAGAAAACUUUAACAGGAUUCGCAUUACCUGAAGAAACUUCAUAACCAGAAGCUAAAGGUUGAUGCUUAAAAUCCCCAGACUGAAUGUGGGACAACCCAGGCAUAGAAUAUGGAUUUGUAAUACUCCCGUAGGCAGAAGGGGCCACAAAUGGAUUGGAUAUCUGCUGGUACUGCAACUGCUCGGAACCCUGUAGCUGCUUCUGUUGGCUGAGAAUUGAAGGGGGAGAAGAUUGCAUAAUUUGGGGUUCUAAAUGAUCCUUAAGUUGACAGGCUGGGAUUCCAGAUGAAGUCCAGUUUCCAUAAAAAUCUUGGUAUGAUUUCAGUUCACCUUUUUCUUCCAGUUUUUCCCGACCUUUCAAGAUCUUCUUUUGCCUGUAAGUCUGAUCACAGAACUAUAAACAUAUAAAUAGACAAAUUACUUAGAAUAGAUCAACGUUUUAACCAUCUAGACCUGCAGGGGAGAGUGACUAAGGCACAGUUAGUAUUUUAACUCAGUACAUGGUUUGUAAGGAUAAAUUCAAUGUUAUUUUUUUUUUUUAAUUGUAACUUACGAUCCAAAGGGCUUCUAUUGUUCAGAAUAUAUUGAGGUAUUAGCUAAACUAUGCCAAGCAAACAGAAUUUGCAUGUCCCUGGGAAGAGUGGGUGUCAUACUAGAAAUAUAAAUUACUGAUGCCUCCUGAAUUUUGACAUGCUAUUCCUUUCUCCUUCCUACUAACAGAAAACCAGACAAUGGCUUUACUUUAGGCAAUCGAUAUCAUGGUUAAGUCAUGGAUUUGACAUCAAGGAUAACUUAAUUGAUGCAUUAUUGAAGUGAUGACUAAAUCAUGUAAAUCCAUAUUCACCCAACAUCCAAGUUUAAUCUCAUUCCAAAAAAUAAAACUAAUAGCAUGAAUUAUGAAGAGACGAAGAGGAAUUUAAAUAAUAUAAUUUCUCUUUUCUGUCGCCAUUUUCCAUUCCAGAGAAGUACUCAGGAAGUCUUAAUAAGUUCAAGUGUAAGGUAACUUUUACCCUUCCCAGCUCUAAUUAGGUUUCGCUGUCCCUCCAAUCUAAUUUAAGAUCUAAUAUGAGGAAACCACACUGUAUUAGUGAAAGGAUCACAAUAUCAAGAUUUUCCAACUUCAAUUCACUGAUAUAACUUUUCUUGAAUCCUGGACAAAAGAACUUAGAACAUCAAAAGAUCAUAGCAGGAUUCUAAAAAACAAAGAUUGUAUUUGGUGCCUAUUGAGUCUAAAAGUUAUCUUGGAUGAAAAGGGUAAAAAUCAGUAAUAUGUCUGGUUCAGUAUCAAGAUUUUGAAAAUAUCAAAAGGAAGAAAAAAAAAGGUACCUUGUUUGCUAAUUCAUUUGGAAAAGCACCAUUUUCCUCUGUCAGUUGAGAGUUAGCCGCCGUGUUCUUUCCCACAACAGCCAAAUCUGUCUGCAAAAGCACAAAAAAAUAAAAUAAAAAAUGCUAAGCUUCUCUCAGCUCCUGCACUUGAGCAUGGGGCAUUAAUAAGUGAACUCAUUACUGAAAAUUGAGUCGCUAUACCUGCUCCUUCAGUAUAGGCUUGUUUUUACCUUCAUCAUAUUCUACAUGAUCAAGGCUUGCCUGAGUAUUCUGCAGACCAUGAGAUGCAGGGUCGUUCAUUUUUCCAUAGCCAAGGGCAAACAGCUGGUCCUCUUCUCUCGAAGCCACAGAUAUUGGAAAGGGCUUUACCGGGCUGUUAGUUGUACAUUUUGAAGAAGACCAUAGCUCAUCAGCAUUACCAAGAUUUACAUUGCCAAAUAUUGGGUCAUCAUUGCUGCAAAAUCACCACUUGUGAGGAUAUUGAGUCAGAUGGUUAUCACUGUUCUCCAACAGAAUCAAGAUAAAAUAUAAGAACAUUAGUGAAGAACAGAAAUGCAGGAAAGCCCUUCCACAAUUGAACAAGCUCACCAAUUCCUUACAAAUCCAGUGCUGCUAUAUUACAUUCUUUCUGCCAUUUAUACUUGUAAUUGAGGAUAUUGUGCUGCUAAAAACUCGCAUCCUUCAGGUUCUUUUCACAAUUAACAAAAUUAAGCCAGGAUCAAAAACCAUAAAUUUUCAAACAACUAGUCUUUUUUGUUAGUGUUGCUUUCAGCAGACAGCACUUGUUUGGAAAAGGAUAUAGAUCCAAAACAGAAGAAACUACAAUUAUUAAAAGAGUCUGGUUGUUUUUCCUUCACAACAACACUCUUGUAGUACAUGAUUUUUUUCUUCUGAAAUGAAAAUAGGCAGUGAGCAUAAUUAUUUUGUCCGCGAAACUUUCACUUCACAGUCAGUAAUAAGAAUUUGUUCAAAUUAUCAGAAUAAUGAGAUGUACAAGCUUCCAUAUCAGGGUGCUGCUGACCAUCUUUCAUUUAGGUGCAGAAAGUAAGAAAUGGUAACUGUGCUUUACCUAAAAAUUCGAUCAAGAUCAUCAAAGCUUCCAAUGCUAGCCCAGCCAUAAUCAACAAAAUCACCUUGCUCUUCACCUUCAUGAGGAUUUUGAAAAAUCUCAGUGUCCUUAUCAAGAUGAUCUGUCUCUGCGUUUUAAAAAAAAGAAUUAGAAUGACAGUAGCAUGUAAGAUACUAUGCUAUGAAAACAUCAUGCAACUCGUCACCCUAUCUACAUUUUUUCCUUGUAAUUGAAAUCUCAUCACCUGCUGAUGAAUCGAGUUUGGUAAUCUCAGUUAGAUUGUUAGAGAUUGAAGUUUCCAAGGAAUCCUGCUCAGUUUUGGCAGCAUUACGUGAGGACAAGUUAGGCCAUCGGUCCAUGUCAAGUCCUAAGGAAGAAGUUCCUUCACUUGUGUCAACAUUCGAAAUGCUCUCCAGCUUUCUGCCAUCAGUAUCAACUUUAGCCCCGGGUGCCUUCUGCUCACUAGAUUUAAUGGUGCUAGCUUCUUCACUCGAUUCCUUUUUCUUGCAAUAAUCUUCACUUGCCUCUGGAUAUGGCACGAUAUGGUCAUCACUAUCUUCAGCCUCACCCCAUAUUAUGUUCGUAAGCUGAAAAGAUAGUGAGUAAGCAUCAUCACUAAAUGUGGGAUACAUGAGAAGAAUGAAACAGUCACAAGUUAAUCUCUGGGUAACUUGGCAAGACUAUUUUCCCCAACAUAAUAUUCUGAAUAAUACACUAAUUAAUCAGUUCAGUUCCUUGUAAGGUGUGCGUGGGCACAUAUGAGCACACAUGUGUGUACGAGAGUUGCUAGUGUCAAUGAGUUGGGAACAAAAUAUUUAAUUGAGUCAUGCAGAAAAUACUAAAAUGUUCUAAAUUGUGUUAAAAAUAAAAUAGAAAGUAGAAGCCAUUGGCAUGAUUCAUUUAAAAAUUUCUACAAAAUUAAAAAAAGAAAACAAAACAAAAGGAGGAGAUGGCCCAAAGCAUGCUCUCAAUAAGAUGAAGUAAGACCUAAAGCUUCAUUGCAUGUACAGAGCACUUUGGAAACUUCAGUCUGGACAAAUAAAACCAAGGCAAAGUAUCUUCUUUUUGGAACUAAUUUCUUCACAGUAAGAUAUAACAUCCAACGCUACCUGCAUCACUUUCUCAUGGUCCUCUCUGACUCGAGUGAUCAUAAACCUUCUCAAAUCCCAUUUAAAGAAGAUUCCCUUUCUCACUUUUCGUUGGUAUUAUUUGACACCAAGAUCACAACCAAACAUUACCAAUAAGUGUGUCACCGGAGAAAGAAACUUAGGUGCCCUAAUACCAUAAAUAAAACCUAUUCAAUAAAAAUUAGACAAUAUUUUAUAGCUGUACAUCUAUAAUCAAAGUAAAAUGCCCAAAACUCUGAAUCCUGAAUAUGUGAAUCAAAGUAAAAGGCCCUAACUGAUGCACCAUCAGCAGUCUCCUACUUUGACUUGUGAUUAAUGACCUAGCAGUUCACUUCAACAACAUUAGUGAACAUAAGUUUGAAUUUCAGACCCAGCAAGAAGAAGUACAUUUUCCAGUAGGCAUGCAUAUCACCUUUUUAUCAAUAUCCAUGGAAGACAAACCAAGCAAUAUCAAGUUUUUUUCUGCUGGAUAUCCAAUAAAAAAUACCUCAUAGUGUGAACAUCUUUAAGAAGGAGGAUAUCACAUUGCACCCCAUCAACUGAUCCACAAAUAAAUUUGCAUCUUUCCAUCAGUUCCAAGCUCUUUGUAAGGAAAAGGGAGGGAAGUGCCUUCAAAGAUACCUUCUUCAUAGCUUCUUUAGAUAUGAAUCCACACGGCUUUCGUAAUCACCAAUCACUAUGCGCAGCUUCUCUUAUCAUCACAAGCUCCAUCUCUUUCCACGUCCUAACUUCAUUCGAUGAACUCUUCCCUCAGUUCCCAAGAAAAAUUAUAUUCAUCCCUCCUGCAGCCUUUUCCCUGCAUAUUUCCACCAGCUUCAUAGCUAUAUGGCCUGUGAAAACUGUCGUUGUUGCAGUGAUUCUGAACAACAAAAAUAACAAAGGAUAAUGCUUGUGUUUAAGAAGAGAUUGAUGAAUGAAAAGCUUAAAUACUUUAUUCAUAACUGCAGCUCAAUUUAUAGAGCUGAUACAUAACAAACUCCUACGAUCAUGGUCCUACAUUCAAGCCAUGAUCAAUUGAUAAUGGAAAUAACAGAGCUGCGAAAUAGCAGCAAGAACAAGAGAAUAGGAACAGAAUUGACUAAAUCAAAAAUUAAAGAAAGAAUAAAAUUCCAGCUCAGCAGUCCUGAACAUUAUUUCUAACACUCCUCCUUGUUUAGGAGCUGCAAACUCCCAACUUUGUUCUCAGAAAUUCGAAUUUGUUGACUGGCAGUGGUUUGGUGAAAAUAUCAGCUGCUUGUUCUUCAGUUUUGCAGUAAAUAAGAAUGAUACUCCAAUCUUUCUGCACCUCUCUCAAAAAGAAUAAUUUGAUGUUGAAGUGCUUGGUUUUCCCGUGAAACACAGGAUUAUUAGAGAUGGAAAUGGCAGCUUGAUUGUCAACUAGAAUUUCUGUGCUUUCCUUUUGCUCCAGGUUAAGAUCAGAUAAAAUUUUCCUCAGCCACAAAGCUUGAUUGACAGCAGCUGUUGCAGCCACAAACUCAGCUUCAGCAGUGGAUUGGGCUACGGUUUCUUGCUUUUUUGAAUUCCAUGAAAACACACCAGAACCUAAAGAGAAACAGUAGCCUGAUGUGCUCUUCAAGUCAUCAAUUGAGCCUCCCCAAUCACUGUCAGAGUACCCGACCAGUUUGAACUCUCUACUUCUUGUGUAUCUUAUGCCAAAAUUGCAGGUUCCUUUGACAUAUCUUAUCACUCUUUUAGCAGCCUUGAAAUGCAAUUCACUAGCACAAUGCAUGAAUCUAGACAAGAUACUCACAGCAUUCAAAAUAUCAGGCCUAGUUGCAGUGAGAUACAUCAAGCAUCCAACAAUUUUUCUGAAUUGUGCUUGAUCAACCUUCUCGGCUCCAUCUUCUUUACAUAGCUUCUCCUUUUGAUUCAUAGGAGUGCUUACUGCUUUGCAAUCUUCAAGUUUGAACUUUUUGAGGAUUUCUUUGGCAUACUUCUUCUGACAUAUGAACACUUCAUGUUCAGCUUGCUUAACUUCCAUUCCAAGAAAAAAGGACAUCAAACCCAAAUCUGUCAUCUCAAAUACACUCAUCAUCUCUUGCUUGAACGUCUCCACAUUAUUGUUGUUAUUUCCUGUUACAAGCAAAUCAUCAACGUAAAGUGAGAUGAUAAGGAUGUUAUCACCAUUUUGCUUGAUGUAAAGAGUCGAUUCAGAGAGGCUUUUAGUGAAUCCCAAGUGCUGCAAAUGUUCAUCGAUUCGGCUGUACCAAGCUCUUGGAGCUUGCUUCAAUCCAUAUAGUGCCUUCUUAAGAAGACAGACUUUGUCCUCCUCUCCUUCAUUUGCAAAGCCUUCUGGUUGCUCAGUAUAGAUCUCCUCCUGCAAAACACCAUUUAAAAACGCUGACUUGACGUCCAUUUGAUACACCUUCCAAUUCAGUUGUGCUGCAAUGGCAAGUAGCAGCCUGAUAGUGUCAAGUCUUGCUACCGGUGCAAACGUGUCUGAGUAGUCCACGCCAAAGAUUUGUGCAUAACCCUUCACCACUAGCCUGGCUUUGAGCUUAUUGAUUGAGCCAUCAGCGUUGAGUUUUGUUCGAUACACCCAUUUUACACCGAUUACAUUUCUGUUUUGAGGUCUGUCAACCAACUCCCACGUGUUGUUUCUCGUGAUCAUGAGAAGCUCCUCCUUCAUCGCAGCAAGCCAAUUUUGAUCUAGCUUGGCUUCUUCAAAGUCUGCUGGUUCACACACAGCAAUGUUGCACCUUUGAUACACAUCAAGGAGUGACCGUGUGCCUCUAACAGGAGUGUCAUCUGUCAUGUUGAUGUCCCAAUCUUCCAUGCUUUGAUCAUCUGUGUCUGAAACAAGAUAAUUGCCUUUUGGAGAGGCUGAAUCUUCUUUGAUUGCAUCGUUCCAAUCCCAUUCUUCAUCUUCCAGGAAUUGGACAUCUCUGCUUAUAACGAUUUUUCCAGUUUGUGGCUGGAAAAUCUUAUAAGCCUUUGAAACUAAGCUGUAGCCAACAAAAAUGCCUGGAAGUGCUUUCUUGUCAAGUUUAUCCCUCUUGACCUGUGGAACAAGGGUGAAGCACAAACAUCCAAAUACCUUAAGAAAAUUCAGAGAUGGUUUGUAACCAUACCAUGCCUCAAAGGGUGUUUGAUCCUUCAAGGCUCUUGUAGGCAGUCGAUUUUGCAAGAACACAGCAGUGUUUGCAGCCUCUGCCCAGAAUUUCUUUGGUAAAUUCUUCUCAUGUAGCAAGCAUCUUGUCAUUUCCAAUAUGAACUUGUUUCGCCUCUCACUAACUCCGUUUUGCUGAGGAGUAUACGGAGUUGUUAGCUGAUGAUGAAUGCCUGCCUCCUCACAAAAAACGUUGAAGGCAUUGGAAGUGUAUUCCUUGCCAUUGUCUGAUCUGAGGGCUUGAAUUUUGCAGCCACUUUCAUUUUCAACUUUGGCCUUGAAAUUCCAGAACACCUGUGCUACCUCUGACUUGUGCUUCAAGAAGAAAAUCCAGCACAUUCGGCUGUAAUCGUCAAUGAAGACAGCAUAAUACAGACUCCCAUUUAGAGAGAGUGUCCUUUGUGGUCCUGCAAUGUCAGUAUGAAUCAAUUGCAGCUUCCUUGUUGCUCUCCAUGUGGCUUCUGGAAAGGGCUUCCUGUUUAGCUUGCCAGUGUGACAAGUUCUGCAGCUGGAUAUGUGAUCAUCAAGUGCUGGGAAAUCCUUAGCCAUCAUCUUGGAUUUCAUAAGCAUCAGCCCUCUAUGAUGAUAGUGCCCGAGCCUCUUGUGCCAAAUAUCUGUGAUAUUUUCUUUAAUUGGGAAAGCAGUAUGCUCCUCCUCCAAUGGAUUUAGAGCAAAACUCUUCCCUUUCAUGAUUAUUUUGAAAAUAUCAUGACCAUUCACAUCUUUGAUCAAGCAGCAAUUGUUUUCAAACACUACUUUAUAACCCUUCUCAAUAAGCUGACCAACACUGAAUAAAUUUUGAUUUAUACCAGGGACAUACAAUACAUCAGAGAUGAACUUAGUACCUGAGCAAGUCAAGAUUGCCACGGUUCCCUUUCCUUCAACAACAAGGUAUUCUCCAUUUCCAAUUCGAACCUUUGAAGUUGUUUGUUUCAGCUCCUUGAAUAUGUUUCUGUCAUGUGUCAUGUGGUUGGUGCAACCACUAUCAAUGAGCCAGCUUUCACUUGAGUCAUUUCUGGAAAUGCAAGUGGCCACAAACAAUUGAUCUUCUUCUUCUUGAUCAGCAAUUUGAGCUUCUUCACCAUGCUGUUGAAUUUUGUUUUUGCAGAUGACAGCCUCGUGCCCCAUUUGAUUGCAUUUGUUGCACUUAGCUUCUGGUCUUCUCCAACACUUAAAAUGUGGAUGUGAUCUCCUUUUACAAUGCUGGCAUGGAGGAAAAGGUCCUUUUUUGUUUCCAGUGUUGCUCCUUGUUGAAAUUCCUGGAAUCACCUGAUGAUGCUUGACUGCUUCCAUUCUUCUUGUAAUUCUUUCCUUUUUCUCUAUGCUUGACGAAUAGAGCUCCUUCAAUCUCAUCUUCCUGUCUCAUGAUCCUCCUUUGCUCCUGAGCUUGUAAUGCAUUUAGCAUUUCUGUCAAAGUAAUUUUUGACAUAUCCUUGGUAUUUUCCAAGGAUGUAAUUGUAGCUUCAAAGAUUUCAGGAAUUGUUACAAGAAUUUUUUGAACAAUUCUUGACUCAGGCAGGGACGAGCCAAGUAAACUGAUUCGGCUUGCAAUAUUAAGCAGCCUGUCAGAGUACUCUUUGAUGGAUUCAGUCUUCUUCAUCUUCUGCAACUCGAAAUCACGCAUCAAGUUCAACACUUGCAUACCUUGAAUUCUUUCAUCCCCUUCAUACUCAGUCUUGAGAAACUCCCAUAUCUCCUUUGCUGUUUUCAGAGACAUGAUUCGAGUGAAAAUGGUGGAUGCUACUACAGCAAACAAGCACGCCUUUGCCUUUGAUUUUUUUGUCUUCUUCUCCUUCUGUGAUUUGAUCUGCACCAUGGUGGGAUUGUUUGGAAGUGCAGGGAUUUCAUAAUCUUCUUCCACUGCCUCCCACAAAUCCAAAGCCUCUAAGUAUGUCUCUAUCCGUACUGCCCAAAACUGGUAAUUGUCACCAUUGAACACUGGUGGAGCAAUUGAUGAGAAGCUUACUUCUGUCUCCAUGGGUUACAACACAGAUCCCUUUAAAUCAAGAUGCUCUGAUACCAAUUGUCGUUGUUGCAGUGAUUCUGAACAACAAAAAUAACAAAGGAUAAUGCUUGUGUUUAAGAAGAGAUUGAUGAAUGAAAAGCUUAAAUACUUUAUUCAUAACUGCAGCUCAAUUUAUAGAGCUGAUACAUAACAAACUCCUACGAUCAUGGUCCUACAUUCAAGCCAUGAUCAAUUGAUAAUGGAAAUAACAGAGCUGCGAAAUAGCAGCAAGAACAAGAGAAUAGGAACAGAAUUGACUAAAUCAAAAAUUAAAGAAAGAAUAAAAUUCCAGCUCAGCAGUCCUGAACAGUAUUUCUAAUUUCUGCUGGAUAUCCAAUAAAAAAUACCUCAUAGUGUGAACAUCUUUAAGAAGGAGGAUAUCACAUUGCACCCCAUCAACUGAUCCACAAAUAAAUUUGCAUCUUUCCAUCAGUUCCAAGCUACUUUGUAAGGAAAAGGGAGGGAAGUGCCUUCAAAGAUACCUUCUUCAUAGCUUCUUUAGAUAUGAAUCCACACGGCUUUCGUAAUCACCAAUCACUAUGCACAGCUUCUCUUAUCAUCACAAGCUCCAUCUCUUUCCACGUCCUAACUUCAUUCGAUGAACUCUUCCCUCAGUUCCCAAGAAAAAUUAUAUUCUUCCCUCCUGCAGCCCUUUCCCUGUAUAUUUCCACCAGCUUCAUAGCUAUAUGGCCUGUGAAAACGACUCCCAAAUUAAAACACUUGAGAAGCUCUAAUAGUUUUCUUAUUAUUUCUUCACUCUUUGUCAGUGUGCCACAUUCAAAUACUACUGAUCGAUUCUUCCUCGUCACAACCACUCACUUUCCCCUAAAUCCCAUACCAACUAAAUCAAUAUCUCUUAUCACUUAUCAAAACUCCAUCUAAUUUCCAAAUGAAUCACACCAUUUGAACACUUUGCCAAUUCCUAAUUCCUUCAAAAUUUUCAUCCAUCAAAAAAAAAACUGCAAGUCAUACUUUUUCACUCUAACACAGUUCUCCUUAUAAUCAAUCUUCCAAUUUAACCAUACUCUUGCCUCUAAAUCUGGCACGCAAAGCUUCUACAUAACCUUCCAACGUUACUUCUUGCCUCCCAACAAGGGUGGAGGCAUGCAUGGGCUAGGGUGGGCUCUAGCUCAGGUGAAGAUUUUAUUAAUAUUUUUGUUCUAGUUUUAUGUAAAGAAAAUUUGUAAUUCUCAAUUUACGUGGAGCCUUCUAAUAUGAUGCUUUAACUUGAGUUAAAAUUUUAUAAUUUUUGAAGAAAUUCAGAAAUUUGAUAAAAAACAAAAUCAUAAUUUGACCAAUUUUAUGUUAUUGGGUGUAAUUUUCAAUCUGACCAUCAGAUUGAGCUAAAAUUUUACAAGGAAUCUUAAAAUAUAUUAAAUAAAAUCUGGUUUAAAUUUUAAAAUGAACAGAGUUUGGUAGUGCUAACAAAAAAAACAUCAAAUAAAAGCAAAAUGACUCAUUAAGGGUAAAAUUGUUAUUUGCCAUAAAAAAAAAUCAGUUCUUCCUUCCUUUAUAUGUUGCUGACUGGGCAGAAACAAAAUAGAAAAUGAAAGAAAAGAAAAGGCGAGAGAAAAAGAGAGAAAAGUAAGGGAAAAACAUAAAAAAAAUCCUAGAAAAAAAGAUAAGAAAAGUGAGAAAAUAACCUUAUAAACUUAUAAAGUCCAACUUAUAAAAUAUUAAUCUAAGGAAGAAGCAAGUGAAGGAAGGAGGAAUUGAGAGAGGGAAAAAAUUUAAUUAUUUUAUUUUUCAGUUGACAUGAGAUUGUUAUUUUAUCCCGGUUAAGGGAUUGUUAUAAUAUCAAUUCAAAUUCGAUUAUAGAUGAAUUAUAUUUCACAAAACAUCGAAAGAUGUAACUUUAAUAGUGAGUUUAUUUUUACUUUCACUUUAAUUUUAUAUAUUUUUAAAUUUAUUUUUUAAUAUUUUAGGUAAUGUAUUUGAAUUAAAACUUUACUAUUAACUUUAAAAACUCAUGUACAUUAAUUAAUAAUUUAUCUUAAAAAAAAUAUUAUAUAUUUAUUUAAUAGUGCAGGACAGAAAAAAAAUCUAGCAAAAUUUAUUCUUUCCAACUUUAUUUGUUUUGACUGAAAAAUAAUCUUUUAUUUUUGUACUUCACAGGCAUGUGGUGGCAAAAGUCGAGCACGAUAUAUAUAUAUAUAUAUAUAUAUUUCUUAAGAUACAUAUGGCUGGUGAUUGGCGGAUGAUGGUGUCAUUAAGACUCUUGGUGUGUACCCUCAUCCUUUCUGUUUAUAGUUUAGUCCAUUUGCAGCUUUAAUGGCUACUAUCAGUUGCUUUGGAACCUGAUAUCACUAGUCUCAUUAUGGUACAGACAAGCUCAGGAUGAUCAAUCCUUGAGAAUCCACAUCCAACCAGAAAUAAACCGAAUUUCGAGCAUAAAUGACUCGAACUCGCUGGAAUGCUUUGGCACCUCCUUCAAUCCUAGUUUGGGAAACAGAAACACUAUCACCGUUAGUUUUCACCGAGGAAGACAGCACCCCCAUUCUCUCCUGCUGUGCUGAUGAUGGGGCAUGAGAGAUAGUCCAAAGGAUUUGCCUCACGUUGAAGUAUGCAACUGUCUAUGGUUAGCCUUCUCUUUUGUGAUGCAAGCAGCAACCAAGCUCUGCCUUCACUGCAUAAAGAAAUGAUUGAUUCACGAAGCCUGACUUCUUUGAAUUUGAAAGAUUAGAAUCAUUGGAAGAGAAAGAAGAAAAGGUGUAAAUGACAGCGGAAUGCUAUUAUACCAUCUGCCAAGGUAAUGCCAAGUCUACUUGCGAGGUAUUUAUAUCAUAAUUUUUAAAUAUUAGAUUGUCAGCGCAUACCAAGCAAAGAGCUUCGAUUCACAACGAAAUGAAUCCGUGCUAUGGGUUAUCAUCUGAUAUCAUCAUUCAUCAACAAUUAAUCGAAUGGGUUUAUACAUGAAAUGUUUUUAGUUUCUUAAUCAAUAAUUGAAGUUUUUAAUUGGAAGUCAAAUUAUUCUUAGAGAAUAAUAUAAUUAAACUAAACCUUGGUUAAUUGAUUGCUAGCAAAGGUGUACAUUUACAUGGCUUGAAAAUGAAGCUUAUCUUCCAUUUAAUUUUAUCAAAUAAAUUAUUUAUAGAGUAGUUUUGAGUGAUAUAAAUCAAAUAGGAAUUAAAUCAUGUUAAAACAUUUAAUUUUGUUGUCCCUUUAUAUUACAAACAGCAACAUUACGUAUCAUGUUUAUAAAUUCCAAACCACUCAUUUGAAACUAACGCUUUGUAUUUUUUUUAUAAAAUAAAAUAAAUCCUAACACUGAUGUGGACUAAAAUGUUUUUCAUAUAAAAUAUGAGGAUCAAAAAACUUUCAUGAACAUUUAAAAUAUGAUGUGGACUAACAUUUUUUUUUUGUUAAAAUUAGUUCGGUUUGUACUUUCUAGAUCGUUUUGAUGUGCUGAUAUCAAAAAUAAUUUUUAAAAAAUAAAAAAAACAUUAUUGGCAUACUUUUCGGCACGAAAAGCUAUUUGAAAAACAACAACUACCACACUUCCAAACACCCUCACUUAGUAUAAAAAAGAAAUCAUCACGUCGUUAUUUUCCACUCAGUAUAAAAAAGAAAUCACACGCCUUAGAGGAUAAAUAAGCAAUGCGAAAGUUAAAUAAAUUUAUGAAUUACCAGCAUAAUUCACACUAAUUCCCCUCUCUAACUUGCACCUCAUCAAUUUUUAUUCCUUUACUCUCGAACGAAAAUAAUAAUAUUUAAGUUAUUAAACCCAACUCGAAUUAUAAUUCAAGUAGGGGGUUAACAUAAAUCAAUACAAAGUGAUAUGACUUUAGGAGUUUUUUCAAAAAAACAAAUUAAAAUGAUGUGAACUUUUUUAAAUUAAAUUGAGUUUUAAUUGAUCAAAUAAGUUGGAUUACACCAGGUCAAAUUCUAUCCGAUUUAAUUUAAAAUUCAAUCUAAACUCUUAACUUACCUUCAGUCGGGUUUAAUAACAUAUUGACGUAACUUUAGACAAGUUAAGACAUGUUAUUUGUAUAAUCAGACCAAAUUCUCAAUCUUUAUUUAUCAUAAUAACGAUCCAACCCAUUAAUUUUAAAUGGGCCUAUAAAAACUCUAACUUGCCAUAAAAUCAGCAAUUUUACAUCCUAUUUUAUAAAAGACACUCCAACAUAAUUAAUUAAAAUAGUAUUUGAUAUUGUGGUAAUAAUUAUUUUUUAAAGUAUUUUUUAUUUAAAAAUAUAUUUAAAUAAUUUUUAAUUUUUUAAUUUUAAAAAUUAAUAUUUGACAUUACAUAUUAAAACAAUCUAAAAACAUAAUUUUUAAAAAAAGUUAUUAUUAUUUAAGAAAAACUGUAUCACCAUACAAACAAAUCCAAAAACACAAUUUUUUUAAAACAAUUAUUAUUCUUUUAAAAAAAAUUGUAUCACCAUAAAAACAAAUAAUUUCUAAGAGUGACAGUGAGCAACAGAAAUAAACCAUGGCAGAAACUAAAAAUACCUUUAACGGAAACUGUGCUUCGAUUCACAACGUUUUCAUCCUUGACCAAUGCUUGACAGAGUAGACGACGGGUCAGAACAGAGCUACCAGUCCUGCAUUUCUCGAAGGAUAGUUUUGGAAAUGCUCUAAGACCGUGGCCAUUAUGCUGUGUAUGUUUGAUAAUGCAGUGAAUAUAAUUUUAUAAAAAUAUUUUUCAAUUAAUAAAAUAUUUCUUAAAGAAAUUUUCAAUAAUUUUGUUAAGAAAUUUGCGUGGCCAGACAUUUUAAAGAAUGAUGCUAAAUUUGGGGUUACAUAGGCAGCUGCUGGCUCCUCUUGUAUCUUUUGGGUUAAAGGCAUCGUUUGUUUCCUGCCGUUGUCUAUUCUCCGGUCGUAGAAGCUGACUGCAAUCCUCCGACUCUGUUCUCAUAGUCAGAUGCUUCCUCUGUUUUCUCCUGGCAUUAAAAUUACAGCUCACCCUCAAAUCUUAUUGCCUCUGGUCAUUUUCUUGAAUGGUGCUUGGUGUUGUCUUCUAGCGUUUGCAGUAUCGUAAUUUGCUGGAGUUUUUGUAGUAUUUGAAUUGUGGGUGAUUGAGCUGCAGAAUUUGUGCAAUUGAAUUGAAUUUGUGCUAUGGGUUAUCACGCGAUAUCAUCAUUCAUCAACAAUUAAUUGAAUGGGUUUCUACAUUAAAUAUUUUUAGUUUCUUAAUCAAUAAUUGAAGUUUUUAAUUGGAAGUGAAAUUAUUCUUAGAGAAUAAUAUAAUUAAACUAAAUCUUGGUUAAUUGAUUGCUAGCAAAGGUGUAAAUUUACAUGGCUUGAAAAUGAAGCUUCUCUUCCACUUAAUUUUAUCAAAUAAUAUAAUUUUGAAAUAAAUUAUUUAUAGUAGUUUUGAGUGAUAUAAAUCAAAUAGGAAUUAAAACAUGUUAAAACAUUUAAUUUUGUUAUACCUAGGUCCCUUUAUAUUACUAACAACAAUAUUAUGUAUCGUGUUUAUAAAUUCCAAACCACUCAUUUGAAACUAAAGCUGUGUAUGCUUUUUAUAAAAUAAAAUAAAUCCUAACCUUCAUAUGAGGAUUAAAAAACAUUCAUGAAAAUAUAUGAAAAGCUAUUUUUGUCUCUAUGGGCUAGGUACGAUGUAUUCAGGUAUGGAUAUGGGUCUGGGCUUAGGAUGAUAGAUAUGGGUCCAGUAGGAGCACGAUAUUUUUUAAUGGUAAGGAAUGAGCUAUGCCUACCAGGCUGGUUACUCGGUCCAUUCACCUCUCUACCUGAGGCUUGUAUAGUUUAUUGAAAAAAACAAACUUAUAUCGUUUCUUUUAGAAUUCAUUUCUUUAUAAAGCAUGACAAUGUAACCAAAUUUGCAUUAUCUAUAUAAAAUAAAAGAAAAUAUAUAUUUUCACAAAUUCUACCAUAUUGCUCGACCAAAAUAUUUAUUUUUUGUUUCUAUACAUAUUAUAAUUAGUUACAAAUAUAACACCCAAUUUAAUAAAAUCAUAUGAGCAAAAUUCCAGGACUUUCCAUGGACAAAACCCAAUUUAAUAUAUAUAUAUAUAUAUAUAUAUAUAUAUAUAUUUCUCUACAUAUUCAAUAUAUUCAUCUAAAUGUAUUUAUCUGAAUGCUAUAUUAUCUUAUAAUUUAACUGGGACCAAAGAUAAAUGAUAACAUUUAUUUAAAUGCUAUUUAUGAUUGACACACAAAACCCUGUUUUCAUAGUUAAUUGAAGGAUAAUAAAUGGAAGAAUGACAAAUUGCCAGGUGGAAAGUUAUACCUCAUCACAACAAAUACUUUCCAGCCAAUUAAUUAAUGGCGGUUACAACUAAUUACAACAAAUACUCUUCACUUCUUCUCUAUAGUUAUGUUAAUGGUAAGAAAAGGUUGGAUAUUAGAAUUUUGAAAAAUAAAAUAAAAGAUAAGUGAUGUUCAGAUUAGAACUUGAUAUUUGAUAUAAAAUAUAUAUUUUUUAAUUAAACUUUAAUAACAAGUCAUAAAUCAACUCAAAAAUAGUAAAUAUUGUAAAAAAAAAAUGGUAAUAUUAUACACAAAAAAAGAGACUCAUGAAAUGACAUAAAAAAUAGAAUUUUUGUAUAUUUUUAUCUAUUCAUGAACUUGAACAUGAUUUAUAUUUAUAUAAUCAUACAUUUUAAUUGGAAAAUAAUCAAUAAAGGAAGAAAGAAUCGACUUUAAACAAAUAAAAAGAAAAUAGAAGAUGAAAUAUAAAUCACGUAAGAAUUAAGUCUUCUCGAAGACUAGCUUAAGAGUAAGAAAGAGGCAAAAUCUAUAGGAAUUUAAUUAAUAAAUGUUUCAUGCGUGUUGUUUCGAAUUGUAUAAAUAUAAAGAAAAUACAUUUAUACAUAUUAUAUUAUAAUGAAUAUAUUUUUCUGUGCAAAAUUGUUAUUAUUUUUUCAAAUCAAACCCCCGGUUUGAGUAUUGAGCAUAAAAAGAAUUUGGAUUGUUGAAUCAUUUAAACAAUUAGUGGAUCGCCAAUGAAUCAUUUUAUUAAAAUGAUAUUUUGCUUUUUUAUAAAAAAAUUUAUUAAUAUUGAUUUAACUAAGUUUGUAUCAGAUUUUACCAAAUCAAAUAAAUCAUUACAAAUUCAAUUGAGUAAUUAAGAUUUUAUCUUAUCAAUGUUUUUUUCUAAUUCAAUUUUAAACCUGGUUAAUGCCAGGAUCUGGAGGAUGUGCUUCCUAUAUCAAAUCACCAUGCAGGGAAGAGUUUAAACAUUUUUCAUUUUUCCUAUAUCAAAAAAUUACAUUUCUUAGCAAAACACACGAGUUAUAUAUAUAUAUUUAAACAAAUUACAAAUAAUCUAAUCAAUUGAUUAAAGUUGUGACACCUUAUAGUACGUAGACGACUAUAUAAUACUAUAAGAUAUUUAACAAUAUUUAUUUUUAUGAAGAGUAAUAUGUUGCUUGUCUAUGUAAUUUCUCUUUUAAAUUGGGUUUAAUUUCAAAAUCAACGUGUAACUUUGUACGUAGGGGCAUGUCAUGGGCAGUGUUGGACCAAAUUCUCAAUCUUUAUUCAUAGAGGUGGAUCAUGAUCGAGAUUCGAGCCUAUUAAUUUUAAAUGGAUCUACAAAACCUCUAUUCGGCCAUAAAAAAUAAAAUCUCAGGUGCCCAUCAAUGAUAGGAUCUAUUUUGUAAAAGACAUUUCAACAGUAUUAAAAUAAUGUUUAGUAACGUGAUAUCUGAUAUUUUUAAAAAUAUUUUUUUAUUUAAAUUAUAUAUUUUUAAAAUUUAUAUUUAAUAUUAUUAUAUUAAAAUAAUAUAAAAAUAUAAAAAUAUAUUUUUAAAAAAAAUCUUGGUGUCAAAGUGAGUGAAUAAAAAAAAUAAAUCAUGGCAGAAACCACGAACACCUUUAACAGCAAUGUCGUUUCAGUUUGACAGAGUUGUGUUAAAAAAAAAAUUCCUUCAAUUUGUAUUGACUUUUUAAUGUUUUAAGUUUACAGUGCUCCUAUAUAUAAACAGAGAAGAUGUUCUUAAAAACUAUGGAUUCCUGCUAUAAACAGGACUUAUACAAAUGUGGAAUAAAUCAAUUACUAAACUAUGGAAUAGGACUUAUACAACUGUGGGAUAAAUCAAUUACCAAACUUUUUCUUACAAACUCUCAACUAAAUCACUUUGUAAUUAUACUAACACUUUGAGUCAAGUUAGUGCAAAGAUAUCUUACCCAACUUGUCAAGGGAGCUCUGAAAGUUUUUGCUGAAGACAACUUUUGUAAAGAUAUUCGUGAGCUGAUUCUUUGAUUUGACAAAUGAAAAGUUAAUCACUUAUUAUUUAAGAUUUUGUUUAAUAAAAUGUUUGUCUAUUUCAAUAUGUUUCGUGUGAUCAUGUUAAAUUGGGUUAUAAAAUAUUUUAAUGGCAGCUUAAUUAUCACAGUAUAGGUUCGUUCUUGAUUUGGGAGCAAAACCAAUUUCUGAUAAUAAUCUUCUGAGCUAAAGCAGUUUACGUAGUCCUUUUACCGUCCCUUGAAACUCAACCUCUGUGCUUGACAAGGUAGCUACUUUUUAUUUCUUGCUUCUCCAUGUGACUAAAUUGCCACCAAUAAACGUGAAGUAUGCUCAUUAAUCUCAUGCAUAUUUUGAUUAUUUUGUUGAAUAUUUUAAUCAGGUUUAUGAUAUGGAUUCUUAUAAUAAAAUUUUCAUUUAAUUUUUUUAUUUUCAUGGGGGGUUUUAAUGUAGGGAACAUAGGAAGUGUAAAGGUGGCAACUUUUUUGCUUUAUUUUAUACCGUAUUUAAAGCCAGUGCCUUUGAGGUUUUAUGGCAGCCCAUCAACAAUAUUCUUAGUAGGAUCUUAUCAUUUAUGGUACUAGCCUGUUGGGCCUCCCUUUUCAUUAUUUUAAGCGUAGUUGCCACCCAUCUUUCUGUGGCUCCAUGUUCAUUCUCCAAACCAUUCAUAUAGGUAUCUUAAAUAGUGUAGCUGGAGCUUUACUGGGUAUGCUUUUUAAUAUAUUUUUAAGUAAAAUAUAUUUUUAAAAAUAUUUAAAAAACAAACAUUACUGUACUUUCAAAAACAUAAUCCUCUUGUAUCUGACGCUUUAAAUUCCAACAAUGAGUUACUGAUUAGAUAAUAUCUACAUUCAAUUAAAAAUAUAAUUUCUUGACAGCGAAAUAAAGAAAAAAGUAGCAACCCUGUAAUAUCUAGGUAAUUUCUAUGCUCUUUAAAUUAGGCCUCUAAACUGAGACUGUAAUGAGCCCAUGACAGAGGAAGACAUGAAAGUGUAAUUUCAGAAGACCAUUAUUCAUAUAACAAAUUUAGUAAAUUUAGUAAACUCGUAAAGUUAAACCGAUUUUACUAAUUCUGUACUAGUUAGAUUUGAUUUUAUUAAUUUUAAAUUUUUAGUUAGAUUUAGUAUGUUAAAUAUAUAUUAACUUAAAUUUUACUAAUAACUCAUAAUUUUAACAACCUUGCUUGUAAUAGCUCUUGUGGUGGUUGAUGUUUAAAAAAGAUAAUUGAGAAAUUAUUUUCACUCGUGACUUUUUUGAUUUAAAUAAGUAUUGAAUUAAAAAUAUUUAAUUAAAAUUAUUGUUUUAAUUUAAUUACCACAAAAGAUACUGGUGAAGGUGGAGAGGAUGCAAAAGAUGAUUGGGUAUCCUAUUAAUCGUCAAAACAUCAACUAUUGUGGUCAAUUCUGCUGACUGCUGAGACUAAAAGCCAACCACUUGAAUAAUGGGCAUUAGCUGUUUAGCACUCCUUGGUAAACACUUCAGGCUCCUUUCCCGCCCCUUUCCUCGCUGGUUCCUUAAUAGCUUCAAGGGGUGCGAGCGCCUCGUUCGAGGAUUGAGCAUAAAGGACUAAAAGAGUUCAAUAAAUACUAAAAGACAUAAAGUGAAGUUUUUAUAAUAUUCAUAGCAAUGGUCAUCAGCUAAUUUAUAAUUUAUUUAUCUACUUUAUCAAUGAAAUAAAAGUGAUAAAAGAAAAGGAGAGAAGAAAUAAAGUGAAGUCUUCUUCUGCAUUAUUAGCACAUCACGUGAAAAUAAAGAAUGGCAUAUAAUAAAAGUUAUUCCAAUCAAACCUCCUUUUUCAACCGAUGGGGUCUCUUGUCAAAUAAAGCAAGGACAGACCGAGUAAGAUGUGGGACCUAACUGCACUUUCCUGGCACGCGUAGUUCACGCAUACACAAGCACAUUCAGAAUAGUAUUCAAUUUAAAAACACAAAAAAAAAAUAAAGGAAUAAAAGAAGGAAAAGUGAUCAAAGAAGAAGAGAGAAGAAAUAAAGUGAAGUCUUCUUCUGCAUUAUUAGCACAUCACGUGAAAAGAAAGAUACAAACAAGAUUACUCCAUUUUCCAGUCACUUUUUCAACCGAUGGGGCUUCUUGGCAAAUAAAGCAAGGACAGACCGAGUUGAUGCGCUACGUAACUCCUUUUUCCUGGCCCGCGCAAUUCACGCAUACACAAACACAUCCAGAAUAAUAUUCAUAAAAUUAAUUAACAUCCCGUAAAAAUAUACUUUAAUUUAGAAAAGAUUUUAAAAUGUUAUUUUUCAAAUUAAUAAUAACAAAAUUUUAUAUUAAAUUGGUUCGCUUAAGUUAACCUAUUAGAUUUAUAAUUCAGGUUAUGAAAUUAUAAUACCUAGUUCACAAAUAACCAAAUAUGGUGAAGUUUUUCCAAUCAAACCCUUUUUUUUUUUUAAGAUGUAAUUUCUAGAAAAAUAAAUCAAAGACAAACAGAGUAAAAUUUCAAAAAAUAGAGAAAGAUGGAAAAUCCCACCAAUAUUUAACCCACUUAAAUUGAGUCCAAAUCAUAAAAGCAUCUACAAAGAGUGUGUUAAAUGAAAAGUUAAAAAUUAAAAAAUAUAUAAUUUUGACUCUUUCAUGUUUAUUUUACACACUUCAAAAAAAUAUUAAAUAAAAUAUUAAAAUAUUUUUUUUUCUUAUAAAUACUAUUUCUAAAUAUCUAUCAAAAAAACCAAUACUAAAAAAAUAGAGUCAUCAAAAAAUAAACCAAUUAAAUAUAAUUAUAUGAAAAAAUAUAUUUUAAAUAGUGCAGCCUGAGCUUAAUGGUUAAAAUAAUUUUAUAUUUUUUAUAAUUGUUAACAUCAACACAUUAAAAUCAUUAAAAAUAUUAAAAAAUCAAUAAUUUAAUAUAUUUUUAAAUAAAAUAUAUUUUUUAAAAAAACAUAUAAAUUACUACUAUUAUUUCAAACACACAAUCCUAUUCCAUCUUAAAAUCUGAGCUAUUAGGAUAGUAAAGUUAAUUCGUUAAAUUUACAAUUGUGGUGGUGGGAUAUUAAAAAAAAUCUUAUAUUAAAAUUAAAAAUUUUAAAAAUUCUUGAAUAAAAAAACAACAAAACAAUUAUUCAGGUAAUUGUAUAAAAUAUAAUAAUAUAAUGUAUAAUUUAUAAUUGAUUUAUUUACCUUAUCAGUCUUCUGCUGCAUGAUCACAUCACGUGAAAAGCUUGGCAUUUAGUGAUGUUUUUCCAAUCAAACCUCCUUUUUUCAAAGAUGGAAUCUCGAGGUAAAUAAAUCAAAGACAAAACCGAGUAAAAUGGAGUCCAGAGCAUAAAAGAAUCUCCAAUGAAGCUGCUAAAUGAAUAACUAAAAAUAAUAAUAAAAAAAAAAUUGUUUUUGUUUGUUUUUUAUAUUUCAAGAAGAAAAUCAAAUAAAUCGUUAAAAUAUUUUUUUUUCACAUAAAUAUUAUUUUUAUAUAUCUCUCAAAAAAAUCAAAAUUAAUAAAAUAAAACCAACAAAAAAAAGCCAAUUAAAUCUAGGUAUCUAGAAAAAAAUAACUUUAAAAUCAUUAAAAAAAAAAAAUGUUUAUUUAUUUCACUUUAUCUCGAAAAACAGUAACUUUAAAAUCAUUAAAAAAAAUAAAAUGUUUAUUUAUUUCACUUUAAUAGAAUUGGCUUUUCAAUGUAUUUUUUCUAUUGGAAUAUAUAUUGUAAAAAAAAUAUAUUUAUAUUAUUUAAAAUACUAUUUUAUUAGUUUAUUUUUUUAAAAUAAUAUUUUUUAUUAAAGAUACUCCAACAAGGGCCGAGAGAGCAAAGGCUUUUACGAGUUCUGUGUUCCGUAUACUUCUCAAGGGGAAAAAAAUAAUGUUUUGUUAGAGAUUUGUUUUUGAUAGAAUUGUUAGCGAUCUUAGCCGAUGCAUCUGGAUUAUAAUUUUUAGCAUUUAUACUAUUUUAUAGCGCUAAUAUCUUAAAAAAACUUAUUUUCUAGCUUUUUUUUCAUGGUAUAAUAAAAUAUUAAAAAAUAUUUUUCAACUCAUUAUCCUUAAUACAAUUAAAUUUCAUAGAAUAGUCUAUUUUUUAGAAAUAUAGUUUACUAUGAGAUUUAUUGGAUAAAAGAAAUUCACUUUGUAACAAUGCACUAGAAACUAAAAAAAAAUAAGCUAAUGAUCAUUUAAAAAUAUAGUAUAUUGGAAUCAUCUUGCUGAAUAGGUGAGUUUGGGAGUUUGGUUGCUUAACAGGCGAGUGAGGGUUAAAUGUAUCCAAUUAAAUAAUAUCUACAUUCAAUUAAAACUUAUGGUACAAUUACUUGACAGCAAAAUAAAGAAAAGCAGGAACCCUGUAAUAUCUAGGAAAUUUCUAUGCUCUUUGAAUUAGGUGCCCAAACUAAGGCUAUAAUGAGCCCUGAAUUUACACAGAAGAAAUUUCAUGGGAAAUGGGUUGAUGUCAGAGGCAGACACGGAAACGUAAUUUCAGAAGACUAUGACUCAAAUCAGUGGCUGAAAUCCAAUCACUCAAGGGAUGGUGACACGUUGUCUUGAGUGGGAGACAACUGGUCUUCAGUACAAAGAGAAACAACGUUUUUUUUUUAUUAUUAUUAUUAUUAUUAAAAGCGAGUGUACGAGUUACUUCCAUGUUUUUUAAUUAAUUUUAAAAUUAAUAAUUAUAUAAAUUUUUAAUAAUUAUAAAAAAGUUUAAAUUCAUGAAAAGAUUUGAAUUCAUAAUUAUUAAAAUACAAAUAUAUUUUCCUGAGUGUCUUUGCUCUCGUGACAGCUCACGAUGGUGGGGGGUUUAAAAAAAAAUUUAAAAAAUAUUUUUACUUGUGAUUUAUUUAAUUUAAAUAAGUAUUUAAUUAUAAUUAUAAUUAACGAUAUAUUGUAACUAAAAUUACUAUAAAAAAGAACAUAGUGAAGGUGGAGAGGAUGAGAAUAAUGAUUGGAUAUCUUAAUAAUUGUAAAAAGAAAGUAUUUUUUUAUGGUGAAGUUAUUUGUAUAUGAGAAAAGACUGAGUUUUGUAGCUCAGAAAAAAUAAACAUGUUGAUAUUGCUUUUUAAUAACCCAUGAAUGGACCGUAAAUUGCAACGGGUUCACAAACACAAACAUGUGCUUCACAUGUAACCAAACUUAUUGUUAUCUGCAUUAAAAGCAAAAGAUGCUAAAAACACACACAUUUGAUCGUUGAAGAUGUUUUUAAAUUGUUUUCUUAAUUAUUUUUCAUUUAAAAAAAUAUGAAUCAAAGAAGUUUAAUAAUUAUAAUUAUUAAAUAUUUUGAAAUAAAAUGAUCCAUCUAUAUUAAAAAAAAACAUCAUUCCCACGUGUGGAAGAUAAAAUUAAUCAACCUAAUCUUAUUGGAUUGCAUUUUAUUAAAUCAAACCAUCAGUAUCUUUAAUGCAGGAUAUUUUUGUUUUUCCAAUUCAAGUAUACUUUUUAAUAUAAUAAAUUUUUUUAACCUAUUUUUUUAUUAUUAUUUUAGUAUCAUUUUGUUAUUUCUAAUAGUUUGUGGUUACCAGUUUAGUCCUGAAUUCAUUAUUAGAACCAUCAAUUUUAAAAAUCAAUGUAAGUUGAUUUUUAUUAUUUUUUAUUUUUUAAAAUUAAUUUAUUAAAAAAAAAUUCCAUGAUUUCUUUUUAAGAGACUAACCCUUCAUCGACAAACACUAAUGUACCCUGAAAAACAUAAUCUUAUUACAUCUGACGCUUUAAAUUCCAACAAGGAGCACCUACACAUCGAAAUAAAGAAAAGUACUGAGUGCCUUGGCGGUGGGAGGAGCUCUGCUCCUGAGUUCGAGUGUUUACAUGUAUAUCUAUCAUUCUCGUGGUGUUUUAUAUAUCUAUUGGGUUUAUAAAGUAUUCAGUGGGAUUAGUUGUGGUGCGCGCAAACUGACCCGAACAUCCAAAUAAAUAAAUAAAUAAAGUAGAAACCCUGCAUGUGGGAAAUUUUUGUUAGGCCUCCAAUCUGAGGCUGUAACGAGCCCUGGAUCUACACACAAGAAAUUUCAUGGGAAAUGGGUUGAUGUCAUAGGGAGACAAGGAAGCGUACUUUCAAAAGACCAUGAGACAAAUCAACGGCUGAAAUCCAAUCACUCAAGGGAUGGUGACAUGUUACCAUGAGUGGGAGACUGCUAGUCUCCAUCUAAAUGUUUAAAGAUGACUGGGUAUCUUAGUAAUUGUAUAACAAUUGAUUUUUUUUGCUGAAGUUGUCGGUGUGGAUGAGAAAAUACUGAGUUUGUAGCUUAGUAAAAACAUGUUGAUGUUGAUGUUACUUUUUAUUAGCUCAUGGUUGGCCCGUAAAUUAUAAUGGGUCCCACAAUCACAAACCUAUGAUUCACAUGUAAUUUAUGUUUUACAACUUAUUUUUAAAAUUAUUUUUUAUAUAUAUUUUUAUACCAUUUUUAUUUUAAAAAUUUUAAGUUUAAAAAAUAUUAUUUUAAUAUAUUUUUAAAUAAAAAAUACUUAAAAAAAAAAUUAAUAUCAGACACAGUGAAUGUUUUAUAAAAUUUUACAAUCGCUUUUACAUUUUGUUUAGAUCACAUUUGAAAAUGCGGUACACUACAAUAAAGUCCGUUAUAUGAUUAAGGGUAUGUUUGGUAUUGCGGUUGCUGUUGUGAUUGUAAUUAUGGUUUUAAAAAAAAUUGUUUUAUAAAAAGUAAUUUUAGUUGAGGUUGGUUUGAAAAAAUAUAUGUUUGGUUAAAACUGUAGUUGAAAUUGAGGUUGAACAAAAAAUAGUUUAAUGUGUUUGGUUAAAAAAAUGUUUUUCAAAUUGAUGUUAUAAAAUCAUUAAUAUAUAUAUAUACUAAUAUUAAUUAUUUUUAAUUUAAAUAUUGUAGAUUUAACUACUGUUAUUACAUCAUGAAAUAAAUAAUAUUAAUAUCAAAUAUUUUUUAUUAUUAGAUUAAAAUAUAUGUAAUCUCAUUACAUAUGAAAUCUAUCAAACAAGGACUAUAUUUUUCAUGGUUUCUUAAGCGUGCAACAACAAAAACUGAUUUUUUAAAUUUAUAUAGUGUUAUUAAAUAAUAAAGAUUGUGAUAUAUUUAUUAUUGAAAUUGCGAUCAAAUUUCAUAAAUGCUACGUCAUCAUGCGAUAUCUUUCUAAUUUAUAUAGUGUUAUUAAAUAAUAUUAAAUACUAGUUUUUCGAGUAAAACAAUUUAAAAAAAUAUAUAUAAUUUCACUACGUACAAAAGUUAUUCGACAAAAACUACAGUUUUCAUGAUUUUUUGAGCAUGUAAUAAAAUUAGGUAAAAUAUUAUCACGAAUAAAAUUGAGAUUACAGUACGAGUAAAUUUAAUUCACCUUAAACUAAUUUUUUUAAAAAAAAUAUCGUUUACUAUUAACUGCACUGGUUUUUUAGGGGGGAAAAUAAACUUUGCUCACCGGUUUUUUUUUUUAAAAAAAUAAAUAAAUAAACUUUUCUUACAGAUUUUUUCUUUUUUUAAAAAAAGAAGACAUGGUGACAAUGGAGCCAUGCUCCACUGUUAAGUGGUUGUUACCCACGAGAAGCAGUAAAAAUAACGUGGACCCUAUCAAGCAAAAUCAAUCUUGCUUGAUUACCAAACAUUAAAAUAUGUGGCUGCGAGUAAACUCGCCACACUACCAAACAACAUCUAAAGUCUUUAAUUGUCUUGCAUUUAUCUUUAAAACUGCUAUAAGAAUUAAUUAAUUGUGUCAAUUCAAUUCUUUCGAUUGACAUUGAUGCCAAACAUGUUAAUUCAUGAUAUAAUUAAGCAAUUCAAUACAAAUUUACUAAUAUAAUUUAUUUCGGCUUAAACCUUUGAAUAAAGCAAAAUGCAGAGGUUGUGAAAGUGAAAUACCUUAAUAAUUUUUAUGCUUUACAACUCUAGGAGCCACACAAAAUAUAAUGCGUUUGUUACUAUUUAUUUGUUAAAAAGUAUUUUUUUUAUUAAAAAAUGAUUUUUUAAAAAAUAAAUUGAAAAAUAUUUUUUAAUAUUUGAUUAUUUUAUAUAAAACAAGCCAAAAAAUAUUUUUUUAAUUUUCUUCUCAAAUUUAUUAAAAGAAUAAGAAACAAAUAUUUCAAAUAAAAAUAUUGAAGGAAGAUGAAAUUAAAAAAUAUAUAUAUUUUUAUAAAUUAUUUUAAAUAAAAUAAAUAAUAAUUAGAAGAAUAAGAAACAAAUGAAAAAUUAAAAAAUUAAAAAAAAAUAAAACAGAAAUAAAUAAUAAUCAAAAUAAAAAAUUAAUACAAAAAUAAUAUUAAACCAAUAAUUUAAUUUAAAAAAAAACAAAAUAUAAUUUAUAAUUUAUAAUUUAUUUAUUUGCUUUAUCAAUGAAAAGUGAUGGUAGGAGGGAGAGAGAGAGGAAAUAAAGUGAAGUCUUCUGCUGCCUGAUCACAUCACGUGAAGAGCUUGGCAUUUAGUGAAGUUUUUCCGAUCAAACCCACUUUUUUCAAAGAUGGAAUUUAUUGGAAAAUAAAUGAAAGACAAACCGAGUAAAAUGGAGUCCAGAGCAUACAAGAGCCGAGAUUGAAACAGGAAAUGCAAGAAAAAGAAGAUGGGCCCUUGUUUUCUCUUUUUACGGCCGGCGACCGGAUAUAAAAAGGGAGGAGAUGAAGCUUUCAAAUUAUUUUCAAUUUUGCGGUCACUUAUUGUGUCCAUGUCAUUUUGUGUAAUUGCCCAGCUACCGGUACUAUUUUAACACUGUUAAAAGUCUAAAUCAUCAAUAUUUCCCCAAUUUAUCUCUAAAAAAAAUUCACUUCAAUUAAUAGCAUUUUUUUAUUAUUUCUUAUGUCAAUGUUUACCUCUUUUUGAUAAACUCGUAUAUUUUUGUACCAGAGGUCUAAAAUUAUUCUGUCCACUUAUUACUUAUUUAAAUUUAUUAGAAUGUUUUAAAUAACUUUUUUAAAUUUUAAUCCCAGAGUUUACAUGCAUAAUACAUGAGUUAUAUAAAUUAUGAUUCAAAAUAUUGUUAUAACUAAAUUAAAAGAAAAAUUCAGAGUUAAUUUCUUGAAUAUUAAGUUUUCUGAUUUUUCUAUAUAAUUAAUUUUUUAAGUUGAUUUGAUUAGUAUUAUUAUACUUUUCUCAUUCUCGAUAAAAGAAAAAAGAAAAAACCAGAAGAGUAUUUUCUUUCUAUUGAAAAUAUUUGUGGUUAGAAGAAAGUAAUUUUCACUGGAGUGUCGUUUUGGGAUGCAACAUGAACUUGACCUGUCUAAUUUGUACGGCAUGAGAAGAUGUUGCUUUACAUGGCUUCCUCCUUAAAAAAAUUCCAUCACAUUUGAGAAUUUUGUUAUAAAAAAGAUAUCUCUUUUAAAGAAGAAAAGUGAUACCUAAAAUUUAUAAAUGAUCUAAACUCUUAAUUUUUAAUCGAUGUAAAAUGUUAGAGUAUCAUGUUCCUGAAAAAAUCUUUCUAAGUGUAUAAUAUGUUGCAUUUGGGGCAAAAUUAAUAGUUUUGAAUGUUUUUAUUACUGAAACUUUUUUUUUUCUCAACCUCUUUUUCUCUCUCUUCUUGUCAAAUACAAAAGGUUUUUUUUUUAAUUUUUUAAAUAAUUUUAUUUUUAUUUAUUUUAUUUUUAUCUUUUGUAGAUUUGUUUUUUUAUUUAUUUUGUUUUUUAUCGUUUGAUUUUAUUUAUUUUUUUAUUAAACAUUAACUUUAUUUUUAUUUAUUAUUUUUUUAAUUAAACAUCCUUUUUAAUUUAUCUCUUAAUAUUUAAUUUUAAUAUCAAAUUUAAUUAGUCCUAUUUUAUCUUACACUUUAAAUUCCUACAAGUACCCGAUCAAACAAUAUCUGCAUUCAAUUAAAACUUAUGGUACAAUUACCUCAUAGCGAAAAAAAAAAAAAAGUAGAGACCAACUAAGAAAUUUAUGUGCUGUUCCCAGCUAUGUUGCUGACAUUGGACAAGAGAGACUUCUUCAGCCACCGAUAAAAUUAUUUUUGUUGACUUUUUGUGCAGUUUGUCACUUUGCUUCGAUCUUUCUCUCUUUGCACCACAAACACUUGGACAUGGUAGAUACCAAGCACGGUUUUGCUGUCAAUGUACGAUACCAUAUUUGACAAUAUCUUUUUUUUUCUUUUUUCUUUUUUAUGAAGAGUAGUAUGUUGGUUAUCUAUGUAUGUUUUUUAAAAAAUCACAUAUAUAUUUAUCUAAAAUUAUUGAUAUUUAAAAAAUUACAUUAUUUUUUUAAUAAUUCGUUCCGCUGUUCUUUUAGAAUUAAGCGAAUAUUAUGCAAAGCUUCAAGUUUUGUGUAAUUGUUUUUAAUACAAGAGAGUUUAACCAUUUUAAAAUGUUUAAUGAGUUAUUUAAAAUAUUGAAAGUAAUGUACAAUAACUAAUUUAUAAUUUUAUCAUUGCUCUUGCUUUAUUAUAGGUCAAGUCAAGAUUUUCUUAAAAAUAAAAAAUUAUUUAAAUUGUGAAUGUUUUAAUUUAUUCUGGUAAAACAAAUUUAAAUUGUGUGGUGAUUUAACUUGAUUGAAUUUGUAGUUUAAAAAACAAUCUAGAUAACCAGUAAAAAUAUAAUUUAACUCGUAAAAAAUUUCAAGAUUACAUAUAUUUUUUUAAUAUUAAGAUAACAACAAAUUAAUUGAUUUGGGUCAACUCAAUUUAACUUAUUAAAUUCAUAACCCGAGUUAUGAGAUUAUGAUAACCAUGUAGAAAAUAAAUUAUUAAGUCUAAUUCUCAACUACCAAAUAUUAAAAGAUAAAAUUAAAAUAAAUAAAUAAACCAUGUGGAGAUUGAUUCGAUGUGACUUAAUUGAUUUAGCUUGUUCAAAAACAACCCGGAUAAUCAGUAAAAAUAUAAUCUGACUUAGAAAAAAAUUCAAGAUGAUACUUUUUUUCCAAUACAAAGAUAAUAAAGUAAUAGAUUGAAUUGGGUUAACCAGAGUUAACUUGUUAAAUUUUUUAUCUGGGUAUAAGACUGUGAAAUCUAAUUCCUAUUCAACUAAAUAUUUAAUGGUAUAAUUGAAAAAUAAAAUCAAUUAAAAAAUGAUCUAAAAAUAUGAACAUAAUUAACAUGUCAAGUUCAUAACCUAUGUUAUAAUAAAGAUACAAUCUUAUAGAAAAAAAAAAUCAAAAUAAAUUAUGAAGUUCAAUCUUAAAUAACCAAAUUUUAAAAGAUAAAUUUUUUUAAAAAGAACGUAAAAAUGACCCGAGUAAAUCCACCAAACUCAUAACUCGUUAUGAGAUCGAGAUAAUCUUAUAUAAAAAAAAAUUACAUGAUUUAACUCGUCAAAUCUAUGACUUUGGUAACAAGACCAAGACAACCUCUUAAAGAGUAAAUAAAAAUAAAUUAAAAGUGCAAUCCCUAAUUGACCAUGUCAAACUCGAUGUGAAUGAUGCAAUUUCUAAAAAUUUAAAUUAAAAAAUAACAUAAAAAAUAAUUUAGACCAACCCGUCAAGCAUCAUUAUUAGAUUACGAGGCUAGGAUAACAUAAUAAAAAUAAAAUCAAAACAAACCACAAAGUCUAAAUUCUAAUAAAAUAUAUUAUUAAAUAAUAAAAUUGAAGAAAAAAAAUUAAUUAAAAGAAAUUCGAGUCAAUUAGGCUAACUUGCUAAGCCUGUGAGUUAGGUUAUAAAACAAAAAUAACCCAAUAAAAAGUAAUUUCACUAUUGAAGGACUCGUGAUCUACGUCAUGAAAUCAACAUAACCUCUUACAAACAAAAUAAAAAAAAAACAACUCAAUUUAAUUUGGAUUAAAAUGUCAAAACCUCCACCUCUAAUCAUAAAACUAGGAUAAUUAUAUAGAAAAUAAUUUGAAAUAGAUUAUGAAAUUCCAUUCCCAACUGACAUUAUAUCAAAUGAUAAAGUUAGAAAAAAAAUUCAAUUAAAAAAAUAUAAAAUAUAACCCGAGUCAAUUUAGGCUAAUAUGUUAAGUAUUAUUUCCAAUUUAUGAGGUUAGAAUAAUCUAAUACAAAACAAAUAAAACAAAAUAUGAAACUUAAUUUUUAAUUAAAAGAUAAAAUUGUAAAAAAAAUUUAAUUAAAAAAAAUCAAGUUAAGUGAGUGAAUCCAUUAAAUCUACAAUUUUUAUUAUAAAAGUGAGACAACUUAAUAAAAAUAAAUUAAUAUUAAAAUAAAAAACAUUCAAUAAAAAAAACACUCAUUCAGAUAAUUGUAUAAAACAUAAUAAUAUAAAGUAUAAUUUAUGAUUUAUUUAUUUAUUUUAGCAUUUAGUGAAGUCUUUCCAAUCAAACCCCUUUUUUUUUUUUAUAAUUUAUAAAAAAUAAAAAUAUUUUAUUUUAAUAAAUGUUUAAAUAAAAAACAAUAAGAGACAACCGUGACCACUUAAAUGGACUCCUAAGCACACCAAGUUAAGAGUUAAAGAGCCGAGAGAGAAAAAGCUUUUGCCAGUUCUUUACACAUUCUUUCCCCUUCUGUCACCUGAACAAAAUCCCCUCUUCUUCUUCUUGUUUGUUUACUCUUCCUUCGUUACUUUGCAAAGAGGAGAAACCAUGGCCGGGGCUUUAGUAGGAGGAGCUUUUCUUUCUUCUUUCCUUAAUGUUUUGUUCGACAGGAUGGCCUCUCCCCAGGUGAUUGCCUUCUUCAGAGGCCAAAAAGUCAACGAUAGUAGUCUGCUGCAGAACUUUGAAGAAAACAAUGACAUCUCUCAGGGUGGUGCUUGAAGAUGCUGAGGAGAAGCAGAUAACAAGUUUAACUGUGCGGGAUUGGCUGGUCGAUCUUAAAGACGCUGUCUAUAACGCCGACGACUUCUUGGAUGAGAUUGCUUAUGAAGCUCUACGGCAGGAGUUGGAAGCUGAAGAGCAAACCUUCACAGGUCAGACGCAGAAGCUUCUUUCUUUCAUUAACCCACUUGAAAUACUGGGGUCGAGAGAGAUCGAAGAAAAAAUAGAAGUCCUUUUGCAGGAUCUAGAUCCCUUAGUUGCAGGAAUGGCAGCCCUUGGUUUGAACAACCGCAAUGUAGAAAAUCCAUCAUCGCAUAGAACACCAACAACUUCUCUCGUGGAUGGAUCUGGUGUUUAUGGCAGAGAUGAUGACAGGGAAGCAAUACUGAAGUUGCUUCUAUCAAAGGAUGCAAAUGGAGGAAACCCUGGUGUCGUCCCCAUUAGGGGAAUGGGCGGGGUUGGUAAAACCACGCUUGCUCAGCUUGUAUACAAUCACAGAAGAGUACAGAAGCGGUUCGACCUCAAAGCUUGGGUUUGUGUUUCAGAAGAUUUCAGUGUUUUGAAGUUAACCAAGGCGAUCCUUGAGGGGUUCGGUUCAAAGCCUGCUUCUGAUAAUCUGGAUAAGCUCCAGCUUCAGUUGAAGGACAGAUUGGAGGGAAAGAGAUUCUUGCUUGUUUUAGAUGACGUUUGGAAUGAAGAUUAUGCUGAGUGGGACAAGUUGCUUACCCCCCUGAAGUACGGAGCACAAGGGAGUAAGAUUCUUGUCACAACACGCAAUGAAAGUGUAGCAUCAGUCAUGAGAACUGUUCCAACUCAUCAUCUAAAAGAAUUGACGGAAGACAGCUGCUGGUCCUUGUUUGCCAAACAUGCAUUUCGUGGUGAAAAUCCCAAUGCUCAUGAAGAGUUGCUAGAGAUUGGAAGAGAAAUAGUGAGAAAGUGUAAAGGCCUUCCUCUAGCUGCGAAAACACUCGGAGGUCUGCUACGCACCAAAAGAGAUGUCGAGGAGUGGGAGAAGAUAUUGGAAAGCAAUCUAUGGGAUUUACCCAAAGACAAUAUCCUCCCAGCUUUGAGAUUAAGUUAUCAUCAUCUCCCGUCACAUCUGAAGCAAUGUUUUGCUUAUUGUGCCAUAUUUCCAAAAGACCAUGAAUUUCAAAAGGAUGAAUUAGUGCUCUGUGGAUGGCAGAGGGCUUCUUAGUCCCUCUGCAGUAGAUGAUGAGAUGGAAAAGCAGGUGCUGAGUGCUUUGAUGAUCUCUUGUCAAGGUCGUUUUUCCAGCAAUCAAGUGCCUCGCUCAUCAUUUGUGAUGCACGAUCUCAUGCAUGACUUGGCUACCCAUGUGUCCGGUCAAUUUUGCUUCAGCUCCAGGUUGGGGGAAAAUAAUUCUUCCAAGGCCACAGAAGGACUCGACAUUUAUCACUCGUAGUAGAUACGGGAAGGGUUUUUCAAGCACAAAAUUAGAAAACAUCCGUGAAGCCCAACUUCUACGCACAUUCCAACUUUUCACGCUAUUGUUGUCCUCCCGAAUUUAUAAUGAGAUCUUUCAGUCAACACUUGGGCGCCUACGAGUGCUAAUCAUGACUGGUUGUAGAGAUCAACUUGUUAUGUUCAACUAGCAAGUUGAAGCAUUUGCGGUAUUUGGAUCUCUUCGGUCAGAUUUAGUAACGUUGCCUGAAGAAGUGAGUGCUCUUCUCAAUUUGCAAACGUUGAUCUUGAAAAUGCAAACAACUUGCUAGUCUACCUGAUCUUGGAAAUUUGAAGCACUUACGACAUCUGAAUCUUGAAGGAACAAGGAAUCGAAAGGUUGCCUGAAUCUCUGGAAAGGUUAAUCAACUUGCGGUAUCUUAACAUCAAGCACCCUUUGAAAGAGAUGCCACCACAUAUAGGUCAACUGGCAAAGCUCCAAACGUUGAAUUAUUUUCUCGUGGGAAGACAGAGUGAGACUAGCAUUAAAGAAUUGGGAAAGCUACGACAUCUACGGGGAGAACUUCAUAUUGGGAACCUUCAAAAUGUGGUGGAUGCUCGGGAUGCUGGUGAGGCAAAUUUGAAAGGUAAAAAGCACCUUGAUAAGCUGAGGUUUACAUGGGAUGGUGACACUCAUGACCCGCAACACGUAACAAGCACACUUGAGAAAUUAGAGCCAAAUAGAAAGCUGAAGGAUCUUCAGAUUGAUGAUUAUGGAGGUGUAAGGUUUCCAGAGUGGGUAGGAGAGUCCUCUUUCUCAAAUAUAGUGUCCUUGAAGCUCAAUGGAUGUACAAACUGCACCUCCUUACCACCGCUCGGGCAAUUAUCUUCUUUAGAGGAUCUCUCCAUUGAAGGAUUUUAUAAAGUUGUGACUGUGGGCUCUGAGUUCUAUGGGAGUUGUACUGCUAUGAAGAAGCCAUUUGAAUCCCUCAAAACAUUAUCUUUUAGAAGGAUGCCAGAGUGGCGCGAGUGGAUUUCAGACGAAGGCAGCCGGGAAGCCUUCCCUCUUCUUGAUGUGCUUUUAAUCGCAGAAUGCCCCAAAUUAGUUUCAUUUCCCAAAGGAGGGUUACCUGCUCCAGUCUUGACACGACUUGAGUUAGAAGAAUGCAGGAACUUGAAGCAGUUGCCUGAGAGUAUGCAUUCCCUCUUCCCAUCCCUUACCGAUUUGGUAAUAAGAGAUUGUUUAGAAGUUGAGUUGUGUCCAGAAGGGGGUUUUCCCUCCACAUUACAAUCACUUGAGAUUUCUAGAUGCAACAAACUCAUUGCUGGCCGCAUGCAAUGGGGCUUGCAAACGCUCCAUUCUCUUUCACGCUUUACAAUUGAUUGGGACGAAAAUGUUGAAUCCUUCCCUGAAGAGAUGCUGCUGCCCUCAAGUCUUACAUCUCUUAGAAUCUAUUCCCUACAACACCUGAAAUCUCUUGACUACAAGGGGCUUCAACACCUCACCUCUCUUAGAACAUUGAAUAUAAAGAACUGCCCUCUGAUUGAGUCAAUGCCAGAAGAAGGGUUGCCCUCCUCCCUUUCUUCUCUUGUAAUUGAAGGUUGUUCCAUGCUGAAAUCUCUUCCAAGGCUUCACCACCUCACCUCUCUUACAGCAUUGGGUAUAUAUGGCUGCCCUCUGAUUGAGUCAAUGCCAGAAGAAGGGUUGCCCUCCUCCCUUUUUAUUCUUUCAAUUCUCAAUUGUCCUCUGCUGGGUGAAAGUUGUGAAAGGGAGAAAGGUAAAGAUUGGCCCAAGAUUUCUCACAUUCCUCACAUAAGUAUAUAUUGAGGUAUUGCUACUAAAUAGUUUAUUUUCUUUUCAGUAAUCAAAGGCAAUUUCAGUUAAAAUUUGGAUGAAUGAAAUACAGAUAUUGUCCAUUUUGUAUUGUUUAUAUUUGUUGGAUGUUGAAAUACAGAUAUUUUCUUCCUAUUGUCUCUCAUUCAUCUCCAUAAAUAAUAAUCAUCAUUCUAUUUCAAUAUAUCGAGCUGGAGGAUCAUCACAUGCUUCAGAUUUUGAACUGCCAGCACCAUCCUUAAUUUGGACAGGGGGCUAUUAUCAUCGAAUUUUAGCAACGGGAUAUUUCUUUUGCUAAUUUAACAACAGAAUGUGUAUAUAUGAUUUUUUUAAUAUCAACAAUGAAUUUAGUAAUAGAAAAUCCAUUGCUAAAAAGGAUUAAAAAAUUAAAUUAUUUAACUAAUUUGCAGCGGAUUUUUCAUUAUUGACGCUCUUGGCAACAUCAAAUCUGCAACUGAUUCCAAAAAUAAAUCAAACCCUUAAUUAUAUAAAAUCUGCAUCUUCAAAAAUUAAAAUAAAAUUAAAAUUCACCAUCUCUUUCUCUAGUCUCUUCCCUUCUCCAAAAAAUCAAAAUUCAAAAACUUUUUUUUUUAUCUUUUAUAUAUUAUUUAACUUUGAUUAAAUUGUUUUUAUUCCAUAUAAAGCAGAAGUUAAAAAAUGAUUUUGGAGUACAUGUAAGUCAUAUCUUUUUUGGAAUUUGCUUUGAUAAAAAACAGACAUAAAGAGAGAAGAUAAUAUAAAAUUCAUGACUCCUUAUCGAUAUAUAUAUAUUUUUUUUCCUUAGUUCAUUCGUUUGAUUACAUUUUUGCUUCAACUCUCAUCAACACUCCCUUGUUUCGUUGCACGGCAUCAUUUAAAUGUACAUGGCUUGUGUUAUGUUCGGGAACAAAUAUUGGGCCAUUAACCUUUUCAAGCAAUGAUGGAGUAGGAGUGCAGUUAAAGAACACGCCCUAGCUGUUUGACAGAAUGCCGAUGAAGAUGAUAGUCAUUUUAGUGGUGCUGCUUGUAACAACCCAGGUAAGAAAACUAACGACCUCUUGAUGUGGUUUUCUAGGAAAUAAAUUAAAUGUUUUUAUUUGUUCAUGUGUUUUCUUCAGGAGGUGGUGCUAACCAGAGAAAGCUAAAGCAGAGGAGGAUGGCCAACAUGUUGGAAAGGUAAAAGGAUGAAGCCUUUUGUUAGAGGUCUAGGUGCUGUUGCACUAACAAAAGCACAUUGCCUUGAGGAAGCCCUCAAGUCUUACAUCUCUUCACAUCUAUUCCCUAAAACACCUGAAAUCUCUUGACUACAAUGCCAGAAGAAGGGUUGCCCUCCUCCCUUUUUGCUCUUUUUAUUAACAAUUGUGAGAGGGAGAAAGGGUUAAAUGAUCUUUGUAUAUUUGACUGUCCAGAUCUGGAAUCACUAUGUGCACAUGAAAGACCUCUCAAUGAUCACAACUCUCUCGAUUAUUUGGAAAUCGAGGACUGCCGUAAAUUAGUUUCAUUUCCCAAAGGAGGGUUACCUGCUCCAGUCUUGAGAGGACUUCAUUUAGAAGGUUGCAGCAACCUGAAGCAGUUGCCUGAGAGUAUGCAUUCCCUCCUCCCAUCCCUUAACCGUUUGUAUAUAAGUAACUGCCCUUUGAUUGAGUCAACGCCAGAAGAAGGGUUGCCCUCCUCCCUUUCUUCUCUUGUAAUUAACAGUUGUCCUAUGCUGAAAUCUCUUCCAAGGCUUCAACACCUCACCUCUCUUACACGAUUGAAUAUACAUCACUGCCCUCUGAUUGAGUCAAUGCCAGAAGAAGGGUUGCCCUCCUCCCUUUCUUCUCUUGUAAUUGAAGAUUGUCCUAUGCUGCGUGUAAGUUGUGAAAGGGAGAAAGGUAAAGAUUGGCUCAAGAUUUCUCACAUUCCUCACAUACAUAUUUGGAGAAGUUAAAGGAGCUAAUACAUAAAUCACAUUCUUUCAAUCGUCCAACAUAUUGAGGUAUUGCUACUAAAUAGUUUAUUUUCUUUUCAGUAAUCAAAGGUAAUUUCAGUUAAAAUUUGGAUGAAUGAAAUACAUAUAUUGUCCUAGAAAGUUGUAUGUUUUUAUUUGUUGGAUGUUGAAAUACAGAUAAUUUCUUCCUAUUGUCUCUCAUUCAUCUCCAUAAAUAAUAAUCAUCAUUCUAUUUCAAUAUCUUUUUUGCUAUAAUUAAUGCUACUAUUGUUCCUCUAUCAACUGCGGCAAAUAAACAUCACAUGCUUCCGAUUUUGAACUGCCAGCGCCACCCUUAAAAAACAAGUGUCCAUCUUAAAAGACAACGGGCCUAGCAGAGCUGAAAAGGAUUAAAAAAUAUUUAAAUAAUCUGCAACAUAUUUUUCAUUGUUGACGCGACAAAAUCAAAAUUCAAAAUUUAAAAUCUCCAUUCUCUCCUUAUCCGCAUCUUCAAAAAUUCAAAAUCUUUUCCCCACCUCUUUCUCUAAUCUAUUCCCCUUCUCCAAAAAUUCAAAAUCCAAAAACUUUUGAUUUGUUUAUUUUAUUAUCACUUAACUUUGAUUAAAAAACUUUUCUUGAAGUUUACUUCCAUCAAAGAUCUUUUAUAGAUAUAAAAAGAAGAGAUAAUAUAAAAUUCAUCCGCGUAUUGGAAUCACAAUUCAGAAUCAAGUGAAAGCGGCCAAUGUCACUCGAGAGAGUAGGCACUUGCAAAUCUGCUAAUAAUUAUUGGUGUUUAUUCCUCAUGAUGAUCCAGUGAGCUGACAAUAAAAGAAAACCUCGGCAUUACUAGUAAAUCGUCACUGCAAGCAUGGAAGAGAUUCAGGUAGGAAUUACCCUUGUCUUCAUUGAGAGGCUUUAACCUCCCUAGCUCCUUCAUCAGCAGGCCCAUGGUUCGAUGCAUCCUCUGAAGCGUCUAAGCAAGGAUUGCUUUUACACUGACUUACAGGCUGAGCACUGGUCAAGAGACUAGAAAGUUGAGACCCCCUUUGCGAAAAGUUUGGUUUACCUUUCGGAGUCUCAGACAGGCUUCCCGUUGACAGCUUUGAUAGGCCCAUAGUCAUGUGCUCACACGGGAGCUUAGUUGAAAAAGGUGAUUCAGGUGUAUCAGGAUGCUUCCCAGGAAUAUCCAUCGGUCUAUGAAACAGCAAAUGAGCCACAGUCCGGUCUACGGGAUUGGUCUCUGUUUCCACCUCAGGCAUCUUAACCACCCUGCAGUAUACUCAUAAAAUCCAU
rnacentral:lncRNA from 1 species